GUGCCUAAUUUAUGAUAUUCUGAGAGUAGCAUCUGUAGUGUGGUUGCUAAAUUUAAUACUGUGUAGUACUUUUCUUGUAUUACGAAUCAUCAUGGUGGAGCUCUCCUUCAGUUUUUCAAAACUUCAAAUGGUUCAGGAUUUGUUUCAUUGGAAUGGCAACCUGUCGCAUGAAAAUCCUAAUAACCUGAUCUUCACAAGACGAGAAUGCAACUACAAUUAAUUGAAAUUGACCUCCACUCCCUACCUGAGGAUGCUGGGUUACACAGCCGAAGGUCAAUUUCUCUGCAUUCGACUACCAAUCAUGAAAGCCAAUAUCGUUGGAAGGAAUGAACCUUCAAAAUGCUGUCCCAAAACGGAAUGUUCCACUUCAAUGGACCUAAUGGGAAAUCGUUCAUGGACAUCUGUAUCUACCUGAAGAUUGUCAGUUUCUUGUGAAUACAACGGUACUACGGAAGGAAUACUUCGUCAUCCACGUAGAUGCUGCAUAUAAUACAACUGCUUCACGUUACUAGAAGAUGCAGCGAAAGAAUUGUGGCAGCAUUUAACGUUAGACUGUUUAUGAAGAUGAACUAUGACUUAUGUACCUCAACUCGCUCUGAAUGACAUGCUAUGGUAACCUAAUAGUGCUCAAUAAUUUAGAAUGUGUUCUACGCAGCAGCUGAUUUAGUAUUUGAAAUAGUCGGUAAACAAAAUAUUAAACAUUAAAGUAUAGGUGUGUAUAAAUUAUAAGCAAAUUAUUUACAGUAAGAUUUUUAAGUUAAUAUAAUCUUUAAAUAUCUUUAAAGCGCAGCUAUUUCUCUUGCAGAGAAUGAACUUAAAGUAAUGUCUAAGUCGCUCUGGCUGAGUUUAAGAAUUUAAAAUGGUGAAUUCGUGUUCAAUGCAAGCUGUCAUUGGCGUUUAUGCUUGGAUAAGCCAAUGAAUUCACUUUAAUUAUGAGCAUGGUUCCAUUUCAUUAACUUUAAUUGUAAAUUUUAAUAUUCAAAGGAACUUCAAUGAAUCUGUAAUAUUGUAUAGUAGUUAAAAUACUAAAAUUUAACGUUAAAAUUAUUUCUCGAAGCAUCAAAUGAAACGGACGAAUUUAUGGGAAACGUUUGAAGUUUCUGCCGGUAUUAUGUAUAAACGCAAAUCUCUCAACGGAUCAUUAAUUUAGAAUUUCUUAUCCUUUAAAAUAUUUUAAUCUUGGCAUGUUUUAAAUUUUCCCCUCCACCCCAAGAAUGUUUUCCUCAAAACAUCCAAUUUGAAAUGGCAUAAUUUUACACGAGUAUCCUUAAAAUAGAAAUACGGUAGUGAGACUAUCGGAAAUUAGGAUCUUCAUAACAAUCGGGUGUCCUAUAAGGAUGGGAAUCUUGAUAAUCAGGCUUAAGUUGAACGGUGCUUAAUCUGAACCGAUUCGGUCUUUGACAAAUUCUGUCUUUGUAAUUUUCGCUUCACUCUCCAAAGUUAAGGUAUAAAUAAAUGAUGCUUAGGUAUAAAAAUUCUAGCAUCCGAUAACAGUUAACUGAAGGCAAAUCACUCACGCGACAUAUGACCGUUAAGGAUUAUCAAUGAAAGUUUACAAAUCGCCACAUUUUAGGGCAAUUUCGGCUAACCAAAAUGAACGGUUAUCGGCAGUCGCUGAUAUCGAUGUUGAAAGUAAAAAUUGCACUUGACUGUUUAAGAUCGAUAGGGCUUAAAAAGGGUAGAAUGGCGUUUAGCACGUUAAUACUGGUACCUGAUGACUUUCUAUUUAGGCAGCAUGGGACCGGCUGCCUAAGUAGAAAGUUCCGGUCCCCAGGGAACUAGUAUUUAACGUGUCGUUAGGUAAGGAGCUGCGUCUUGAGGCUUGAAAGUAGCGGAGAAUUCGAUGAGUAUUCGUUAGACAAAAUUGAUAAUGAGCGAAAUCGCAGUUUAGUUUAUUUAUGCAGAAUGCAAUAGCAGUGAGGAAUUGGACAAUCCGUGCAAUUUCUGCUUAAUACAUUGAUAUCGACUGUUCGAAAACUGAACUAGAAGCCUUGUAAAUACAUGCCCUAGAAUGUUAAGCAUCACAUUAGGAAAAUCUUUCCGGGUAUAUUAAACUAAUUUCCAGUUAAGUAAUGUUAACCUAGCAUUUGCUAUCCAGAAAGUAAUUAAAUGUUUCUAGCUUCAUUUGACGAUAUAAUUCUUAAAUAGACAACGCAAUUAAUUCGCAAUCGGCAGAGCAGUGAUAUCGAUAGAUCUGUAUAUUGCAAUAGUGAAGUUGCGUUAUAAACUCUUCGCAAAACCCUAUUUCCGUUAUGGCGCCAUCGCAAUUCGAAAUGCUAAUAUCUUAAUUUUAGCUUUGUGUAGGUGUAGUUUUCUUCGCUAGGGAUGGUUUGAGGAAACUAAAAGAAUAAAUCCCAAGGUUUAGGUUGUUCAGAUUCACAAUGCAACUAAAAUGCAUUUCUAAUGGAUAAAUCAGAAUUUUGUAUUUAGCAGAUUUCUGCAGGCAUUCCGAAGAAGCACAAAUUCUUGCAUAAAACCCGUUACGCUGUAGCGAAAUACAGCUAUUCCAGCUUUAACUAUUUUUCUUAAAGUUAAUGGCGUAUAACUUAUGACCACGCUUCCUCUCUUCUAUAAUACUUCCGUAACUUCUAAAAUGUUGCUCGACUCAACUCGAAUUGAGGAAAAAAAUUUAUUAGGGAUGUCGGCUAAUGAAAUGAGUCUUGCAAUUUUCUAUAAACUGCACGUGACAGACUCAAGUGUCCCAAUAAACUUUUAAAACUGCAGACUAUUCCCGAUUCGGUUAAAUCUGGCAAGAUUUGUGUUUUCGCUCUCGUAGAUACCUCUAGAACUAAAAUUUGAAUCGUCCGCUUCAUUUGAAUGCACUUAAACUUGUAUUAGUGAAUUGUUUUGGCUCAGAAGUGUUAAGGUUCUCAUUCUCAUUUUGCUGACCAGCAUCAUUUUAAUUAUAAAAUGCGCAUUUUAAUUUACUUCUUUGCAGGGAAUAAUUUGCUUUUAAAAUUUGGAUCUCGAGCUUUCAUGUCUAGUAAUGAGUUAAAUAUCUUCUAUAGAUUUUAAUCCAUCAAAUAAUUUGAAGUUCCUUGCACAAACCGUAACUUUUAGUUUAAGCAUAAUGUUCUAUUUCUGUAUAAUUUGUAUAUCAAAUUUGUGAAGUCGAUGCUAGCUGUUCAGAAUCUUAACUUAUGCUGCCAUCCAUGACACUACAACUGACUUGUAUGAUCUUGGGUACAUCUAAAGACGAUUGUCAAGACGUGAAUCACUUUGUGCGAGCAAGAUGUGCUAAAAUUCUGCAAGCACCGAUGUUCAUGUUGAAAGGUAGUUUUUACCUCUAAUUGUAUUUUUAUAUUUACUUAUCUUGAAUGCAUAUUAAAGCUAGGGACAUCUAUUUAUAAAAGGCUGGACGGUGUAUAUUUGUCGGGAUUUAAGUAAGAUAAACGAUGCUACAACAUCUAUUCUAAAACUUCCAUUAUCGCAAAGUAAUUUAAAAAUUACUCAAUCUAAAACUCCAAAUCUAAAAUUUUAACUAACGUUUCUAGAAGUUGUCCAUUUUUAAGUUUCGAUCAUCCAUUUACGAUAGUUAAAUUUGAAUUCCAUUGCGAGCUUGUUCAGUACUAAUUUCACUUCACUUCAAUUAAAAGUUAUUUUCAAUCUUGAAGCGUCUUCUAUAAUGUGAAUCUUGUAGAAAAGUCGCAAAUUGCUGUCAACACCCAGCAAUUGAAAUAAAAACUAAUGGACCUCGGGAAUUCGGAACACGUUUAAGAAAAUUCGGUUCUUCGUAAAUUAAUACAAACAUUGAAAUUUUAAAGGCAUUCUCCCCCAAUAGUAUAAGUUUUUUAAAUUUGAGAUUUCCCUACUCUAGUUCGGCCUUUCCCUCGCAUGACUUAGUCUAAAACGUUGGUAUACUAAAACUAAAGCGUUAAUGGAUGCCAUUAUUGAACCUCCUGUCCGAAUGAAUAGAUUAAAUUUGCCAAUGUAGUAGAAAAAUAACUUUCUAAACGUUUGACUGCUUUACAUAUAUUGAAAGUAUUGUGAAAAUUUAAGGAGUUAUUUCCACGACUUAACUUGAAGCAGAAUAACUUGCUACUCAUCUGGAUAAAAUAUUCAUCUUGCAUCGUAAUAUUUUAAAUUUUUGCUUGAAUAGAGAGCGGAUACUUCUGCAAUAAAAUCUUUACCCUAAAAAUUAGUCUAAAUUGUGAUAACCAGACAAGCCAUUGUGAUCCUUAGUUGAAACUGAAAUCAAAAUUUUAAGAUGAAAAUAUGAAUUGAAAGAUGGAUCCAGACAAAUGAAAAUUUUAGUUUCGUUUAACAUUAUUGGAACACCCGGAAAUUCAAUACUUGGAAAAGCAAAUCACCCCAUCGUCUGAAGAUGGCCGUAGCUACGCCGGCAAGCUAACAGGCCGCCUUCUGCAUCUACAUAUCGAAGCGUUUUGAUCGUGUUGACUGGCCACCAUCACGACCAAAGCGUUUGAAAAUAUAACGACUGGUCAAACAUGAUUU